rnacentral:rRNA from 1 species
UACGGGGGGUGCGAGCGUUGUCCGGAAUCACUGGGCGUAAAGGGCGCGUAGGUGGUUUGAUAAGGGUGUGGUGAAAGUCCGGAGCUCAACUCCGGAUCUGCCGUGCCGACUGUCAAACUCGAGGGCUGUAGAGGCAGACGGAAUUCCGGGUGUAGCGGUGGAAUGCGUAGAGAUCCGGAGGAAGACCGGUGGCGAAGGCGGUCUGCUGGGCAGUUUCUGACACUGAGGCACGAAAGCGUGGGGAGCAAACAGG